AUAUCUAAUUAAUAUUAUUAGGCAAAGACAACAAAAAAGAUUGUGCUAAGAAUGGAAUGCAGUGAAUGCAAAUGCAGGAAACAGCUUCCUAUAAAACGCUGCAAACAUUUUGAAAUUGGAGGAGACAAAAAGAGAAAGGGACAAAUGAUCCAGUUUUAGAAUUUUGCAGUUUAUUCAUUAAAUAUGUAAAAAAUAAAUAUUUCAUGGAGAAA